rnacentral:rRNA from 1 species
GACGAACGCUGGCGGCGUGCCUAAUACAUGCAAGUCGAGCGGACCGAAGGGAGCUUGCUCCUUUAGGUUAGCGGCGGACGGGUGAGUAACACGUGGGCAACCUGCCCUGCAGACUGGGAUAACUUCGGGAAACCGGAGCUAAUACCGGAUAACACCGAAAACCGCAUGGUUUUCGGUUGAAAGGCGGCAUUAGCUGUCACUGCAGGAUGGGCCCGCGGCGCAUUAGCUAGUUGGUGAGGUAACGGCUCACCAAGGCAUCGAUGGAUAGGGGAGCCGAGAGGCUUAUCCCCCACAUUGGGACUGAGACACGGCCCAA